CUCUUGUACUAGGGGAGUCUUACUUAAGACCGAGAUAUGGAUAUAAAUUCAUGGACCCUUUGAACCUGUUGAGUUAGCACUCGCGUAGGGAAGUAUUGGGAACUUGAU
rnacentral:ncRNA from 2 species